rnacentral:rRNA from 1 species
GAGUUUGAUCAUGGCUCAGAACGUACGCUGGCGGCACGCCUAACACAUGCAAGUCGAACGAAGUAGCAAUACUUAGUGGCAAACGGGUGAGUAUGAUGUGGGUAUCUGCCCUUUGGUAUGGAAUAACACGAGGAAACUUGUGCUAAUACUGUAUAAGCCUUCACAGGGAAAGCUUUAUGCGCCAAUGGAUGAGCCUGCACUUGAUUAGCUAGUUGGUAAGGUAAUGGCUUACCAAGGCUACGAUCAAUAGCUGAUCUGAGAGGAUGAUCAGCCACAUUGGGACUGAGACACGGCCCAAACUUCUACGGAAGGCAGCAGUGGGGAGUCUUGCACAAUGGGGGAAACCCUGAUGCAGCGAUGCCGCGUGAGUGAAGAAGGCCCUUGGGUUGUAAAGCUCUUUCGUCGGGGAAGAAAAUGACUGUACCCGAAUAAGAAGGUCCGGCUAACUUCGUGCCAGCAGCCGCGGUAAUACGAAGGGACCUAGCGUAGUUCGGAAUUACUGGGCUUAAAGAGCACGUAGGUGGUUAAGAAAGUUGGUGGUGAAAUCCCAAGGCUUAACUUUGGAACUGCCACCAAAACUUUUUAACUAGAGUAUGAUUGAGGUAAGCGGAAUUUCUAGUGUAGAGGUGAAAUUCGUAGAUAUUAGAAAGAACACCAAUUGCGAAGGCAGCUUUCUGGAUCAUUACUGACACUGAGGUGCGAAAGCAUGGGUAGCGAAGAGGAUUAGAUACCCUCGUAGUCCAUGCCGUAAACGAUGUGUGCUAGACGUUGGAAAUUUAGUUUUCAGUGUCGCAGCAAAAGCGAUAAGCACACCGCCUGGGGAGUACGACCGCAAGGUUAAAACUCAAAUGAAUUGACGGGGACCCGCACAAGUAGUGGAGCAUGUGGUUUAAUUCGAAGAUACGCGCAGAACCUUACCAACACUUGACAUGUUCGUCGCGACUUUAAGAGAUUAGAGUCUUCGGUUCGGCCGGACGAAACACAGGUGCUGCAUGGCUGUCGUCAGCUCGUGUCGUGAGAUGUUGGGUUAAGUCCCGCAACGAGCGCAACCCUUACUUUUAGUUGCUACCAUUCAGUUGGGCACUCUAAAAGAACUGCCAGUGAUAAGCUGGAGGAAGGUGGGGAUGACGUCAAGUCCUCAUGGCCCUUAUGUGUUGGGCUACACACGUGCUACAAUGGUAUUUACAGUGGGAUGCAAAGAGGCAACUCCAAGCAAACCCUCAAAAAAUACCUCAGUUCGGAUUGUACUCUGCAACUCGAGUACAUGAAGCUGGAAUUACUAGUAAUCGCAGAUCAGCGCGCUGCGGUGAAUACGUUCCCGGGUCUUGUACACACCGCCCGUCACACCAUGGAAGUUGGUUACACCUUAAGGCAA